GUGGGGAGGAGAGUCACUGACUGGAGCGCUUGCCCCCUCCCUUCCCCAUCGCCCCAGCGCUCCCUCCCGCGCAGAGGAGCCCGCCCUGCUCUCCUCCUCCCGCCCGCCAAGCGCAGCCCUCCUCCUCCUCCUCCCUCCGUGCCGCCGCCGCCGCUGCCCCUGCCCCUCUUCUCCCUCCUCCCCCUGGCUCUGCUCCUCCUGCUGCUGCUGCUCAGUGCCGCUCGAGCCACACUCCCAAGCAGACGCCCGCCCGCCCGCCGGACCCGGGAGCAACAGCAGCAGGAGACGCCGCUGAGGCCCGUUACAUAUACUUGAUACCUUUGGUGGACUUUUUCCAAGAAUAUUCUUCCAUUGACCAGGACCAAGCUGCAAACCUAACAAAGACCUCAGAGAGAGAGAGAGAGAUCUGCUGUUAGCUCUGUGUUGUGAAGUUGGAUAUUAUCAAGAUUAUGGGGUGAUAAUUCUGCUGAUGUUUGUAAUUUCAUUCAUUCUUCUCUAUGUUUUGCUCUUCCUUCAUGCAAACAACCUCUAGAUUUUAGUAGAACAAACAGUACUCUCAAAGGAUCUGUUGUAUGGCCUCAAUAGAGAAUUCAUCUUCUGGAACUUUUUUUCUUUCUUUAAAAAUGUUCUUGGAUCCCAUCCUUUGUAUACAGUAUCAAGUCAGGGAUCAGCAACCUGCGGUUCUGGAGCCACAUGUGGCUCUUUUACCCCUCUGCUGCAGCUCCCUGUCACUCAAAAUAUGUUUCACAACCACCAAUGUGCGACAUCUGCCGGCACGCGAUUUAUUGAGCUUUUUAACUCCCAGUAGGCCAACCAUGGAUAAAUCCAAGAAAAGUUUCAGAAGAAAACAGAAUGUUUAAUUCAACUACAUAUGCUAGUUUUGUAGCCGCUCAAGAAAUAGUCAGGCACAGGAAGGGUUUUGUGGCUCUUGUGUUUUCUGUGGGAAAGAGGUCCAAAUGGCUCUUUGAGUGUUUAAGGUUGCAGACCUGUGGUAUAAGUGGUGAAAACUGGCUGUGGAACACCCAGGUCAUUAGAUGGCAGCAUUCUUAACUCCUUGCUGCCACUUAGAGGUUAGUCACAGAACUGCAGCCAAAUCUGGUGGAGAAGGAACAGAAGAAGGCCUGUUUAAUAACAUCCAAUAUGGAAGCCCUUAUGGCAGAGGUGUCAAAUUCACGUCGUACGACAGCAUCACGUGAUGUAUCAGGACUUUUUCCCCCUUCGCUAAAUUGGGCGUGAGCGUGGCCAGUGUGUGAUGCAUGUGGGCUGGGAGUUUGACAGCCCUGCCCUAUGGUCUUUUUCUUUCCAGCUUCUUUGCAAUAAACUCAGAACACAUGUUGAAACCAGAGGUGGGUUUCAGCAGGUUCUGACCAGUAGCAAAAAUUUCGAGUAGUUUGGAGAACCGGUAGUAAAAAUUCUGACUGGCCCCGCCCCCAUCUAUUCUCUGCCUCCCAAUUCCCAGCUGAUCAGGAGGAAAUGGUGAUUUUUGCAGUACCUUUCCCUUGGAGUGGGGUGGGAAUGGAGAUUUUAAAGCAGGGGUGUCCAAACUUGGUCCCUUUAAGACUUGUGGACUUCAAUUCCCAGAGUCCCUCAGCCAGCAAAGCUGGCUGAGGAACUCUGGGAGUUGAAGUCCACAAGUCUUAAAGGGACCAAGUUUGGACACCCCUGUUUUAAAGUAUCCUUCCCCUGCCAUGCCCACCAAGCCACACCCACCAAGCCACACCCACAGAACCGGUAGUAAAAAAAUUUGAAACACACCAAUGGUUGAAACCUAAGAUUUUAUUAAGCAGGUAAGUUGGUAACUAGCUAAUCUAAUGGCAGUUUUAUUUGGAAUUCUGUUUGUACAGUUGUUACCUUUUCUUGCAUUUCUGAAUUUCCCUCCCCCCCCCAUGUCUUUUUGUAUGCAGAGAUUUAAUUUAAUUCUUUUACUAAGUUCCUGAAUGCAAGAUGAGGCAGUUGGUUAGCUACCACUUGUGUUUAAAGAUUGGUGUUAAAUUAUUAAAAUAUAUUACUUCUGGAUUUUAGGGCUGGAUGAUCCAUAAGUGUUUCCUAUUUUUCAUAGAGGUGAGGUGAAAAAAGAAGCCCUUGGAUGGAACUCCAAAACCAUAUUUGUUUUCUGAGGUUUUCGCGGGUGUUUGUAUGUAGGUCUUUGUUUAUUCGGGUUUUCUCCCGCGUAAAAUUGGAAGUGUCUUGGUGACGUUUCGAUGGAGUCUCAUUCAUCAUCUUCAGAAGCACGAAGCUGAAGCCUGAAGAUGACGAAUGAGACUUCGUCGAAACGUCGCCAAGACACUUCCAAUUUUACGCGGGAGAAAACCCGAAUAACCAAAGAUAGAUAGAUAGAUAUAUAGAUAUAGAUAUAGAUACACACACACACACACACACACACACACACACACACACACACACACAUACACACAGCAUGUCCACCACAUAGGAAAAUUAUCCCUAUUGUUUACAGCCACUACAACAUUUUGAAGAAUGAUUAUGUAGUAUAUAUGCUAAUCUAGCAGGUGCUAAAUACCACCAAUGUAACACCUUCAAUUGCCACUCUUGCUUAGAGGAAAAAAGAAAAUAUCCUGAUUUCCCCGAUUGCCACUUUAGGCCAAUUAUUAGAUUUUCUAAAUCAGUAUUGCAAGCAUCUUUUAAACCGGAAAGACAAUUCAUAAUUUAUAAUGAUAGCAUAAUUUGACAUUAUUUAUUUAUUUAUUUAUUAUAUUUGUAUACCGCCCAUCUCCCGAAGGACUCAGGGCGGUUCACAGAAAAAAGAAAAAAAAACAUAUAAUACAUAAAAAACAGCUAAAAGAAUAGAUAGUUAAAUUCAAUUGAUGCUCUAACUUUUAAAUACAAAUUUAAAACCUCAUUUAAACCCCUUUUUUAAAAAUCCCAAUUUAAAACUACAUUCAAGCUAGUCAUUUCUUUUGGUUGUGUCAAAUAAAUGUUAAAUUCUCAAAAAUAGUACAGAUAGUCGUCAACGUAACGACCAUAAUUGGACCCAAAAUUUCCAUUGUUAAGUUGUUAAGUGAAUCACUGCCGUUCUAAAGUGAACCAUGCAAUCAUUAAGCUAAUCUGGCUUUCCCCAUUAACGUUGCCUGUCUGAAGAAGUCUAAGGAGGUUAUAAAUGGUGAUCACAUGACCUCAGGACAGUGCAACUGUCAUAAAUACGUUCAACUUAUCAGAGGCCUUAAUUUUGAUCACAUGACCAUGGGGAUGCUGUAACAGUCGUAAGUGUAAAAACCAGUCAUAUGUCACUUUUUUCAGUGCCAUUGUAACUUUGAGCAGCCACUAAACAAAUGGUUGUAAGUCGGACUACCUGUAUAUGAGCAAGUUCUUGUCUUCACCUAAUAUAGCAUUAAGCUCUUGUCAGAAAAAGCAAUAUAACUGUCAGAAAGCCCAGUCUCUAUUUCAUGGCCCAAAAUUGGUAUAAAAAUAAUCCUGUAAAAGUUAUAAUUCUUCAAAAAAUUUAAUUGAUCUGACCCAUAUUAAAGUUUUGUAAACAGAACAGAAUAGAAUAGAAUAGAAUAGAAUAGAAUAGAAUAGAAUAGAAUAGAAUAGAAUAGAAUAGAAUAGUAAUUUUUAUUGGCCAAGUGUGAUUGGACACACAAGGAAUUUGUCUUGAUGCAUAUGCUCUCAGUGUACAUAAAAGAAAAGAUACGUUCAUCAACAAUUCUAAGGUACAACACUUAAUGAUAGUCAUAGGGUACAAAUAAGCAAUCAGGAAACAAUAUCAAUAUAAAUCGUAAGGAUACAAGCAACAAAGUUACAGUCAUACAGUCAUAAGUGGAAGGAGAUGGGUGGUGGAAACGAUGAGAAGAUUAAUAGUAAUGCAGAUUUAGUAAAUCGUUUGACAGUGUUGAGGGAAUUAUUUGUUUAGCAGAGAUGGCGUUUGACAGUGUUGAGGGAAUUAUUUGUUUAGCAGAGAUGGCGUUCGGAAAAAAAACUGUUCUUGUGUCUGGUUGUUCUGGUGUGCUCUAUAGCAUUGUUUUGAGGGUAGGAGUUGAAAAAGUUUAUGUCCAGGAUGUCACAGCCCUCUUUUUGACUUGUGCAGUAUACAGGUCCUCAAUGGAAAGCAGGUUGGUAGCAAUUGUUUUUUCUGCAGUUUGUUUUUUAAACAGUCAUUAAAAGGUUUAGAGGAAAAUGCCACCCAUUGUUUUCAAAAUUUGAAAUAUUGUGCCAGUAAAAUAUUAUUAAUUUUG